rnacentral:rRNA from 1 species
UACGGAGGGUGCGAGCGUUGUCCGGAAUCACUGGGCGUAAAGGGCGCGCAGGCGGCGCGGGAAGUCCGUGGUGAAAGCCCGAGGCUCAACUUCGGGUCGGCCAUGGAUACUCCUGGGCUUGAGCACUGUAGAGGCAGGUGGAAUUCCGGGUGUAGCGGUGGAAUGCGUAGAGAUCCGGAAGAACACCGGUGGCGAAGGCGGCCUGCUGGGCAGUAGCUGACGCUGAGGCGCGACAGCGUGGGGAGCAAACAGG